rnacentral:rRNA from 1 species
AAGAGUUUGAUUAUGGCUCAGAUUGAACAACUGGCGGGAUGCUUUACAUGCAAGUCGAACGGCGGCACGGACUUCGGUCUGGUGGCGAGUGGCGAACGGGUGAGUAAUAUCGGAACGUACCCCUGGCGAGAUAACUACGCGAAAGUGUAGCUAAUACCGCAUACGCCCUUGAAGGAAGAAAGCGGGGGACCCCGGGCUCACACUAUCGACGCGGCGAUAUCGGAUUAGCUAGUUGGUGGGGUAACGGCUCGCAAAGGCGACGAUCGUAGCUGGUUUGAAGGACGACCAGCCACUGGAGUUGAAGUUACGGCCCAGACUCCUACGGGAGGCAGCAGUGAAAUUUUGGACAAUGGGGAAACCCUGAUCCAGCCAUCCGCGUGUGCGAUGAAGACCUUCGGGUUGUAAAGCACUUUGGCAAGGAAAGAAACGGCACGGGAUAAUACCCCGUGCAACUGACAGUACCUGCAGGGCAGCACCGGCUAACGCGUGCCCAGCGACGCGCGGUAUUACGUAGAGUGCAAGCGUUAAUCGGAAUUACUGGGCGUAAGCGUGCGCAGGCGGUUCGGAAGAAGAUGUGAAAUCCCAGAGCUUAACUUUGGAACUGCAUUUUUAACUACCGAGCUAGAGUGUGUCAGAGGAGGUGGAAUUCCGAUAGCAGUGAAAUGCGUAGAUAUGCGGAGGAACACCGAUGGCGAAGGCAGCCUCCUAAAGGACCAACACUGACGCUCAUGCACACGAAAGCGUGGGGAGCAAACAGAGUUAGAUACCCUGGUAGUCCACGCCCUAAACGAUGUCAACUAGCUGUUGGGGCCUUCCGGGCCUUGGUAGCGCAGCUAACGCGUGAAGUUGACCGCCUGCAAAGUACGGUCGCAAGAUUAACUCAAGGAAUUGACGGGGACCCGCACAAGCGGUGGAUGAUGUGGAUUAAUUCGAUGCAACGCGAAAAACCUACCUUGACAUGUCUGGAAUCGAAGAGAUUUGGGAGUGCUCUGCUGAAAGGCGGAACACAGGUGCUGCAUGGCUGUCGUCAGCUCGUGUCGUGAGAUGUUGGGUUAAGUCCGCAACGCGAAGCUGUACUUGUCGGUAGUUGCUACGAAAGGGCACUCUAAUGAGACUGCCGGUGACAAACCGGAGGAAGGUGGGGAUGACGUCAAGUCCUCGGCCUAUAGGUGGGCUUCACGUCAUACAAUGGUCGGGAUGAAGAGGGUCGCCAACCCGCGAGGGGGAGCCAAUCCCAGAAACCCGAUCGUAGUCCGGAUCGCAGUCUGCAACUCGGCCAACAGUCGGAAUCAACUGGUAAUCGCGGAUCAACCUGUCGCGGUGAAUACGUUCCGGGUCUUGUACACACCGCCAGUCACACCAUGGGGGAGUGGGUUUUACCAGAAGUAGUUAGCCUAACCGUAAAGGGCGAUUACCGCGGUAGGAUUCAUGACUGGAGAUUGAAGUCGUAACAAAGGUAG